rnacentral:rRNA from 1 species
GUCGGGCCCCCCUUGGGAGGGCUGGCCCCCCAUCUCGGACGUCCGGUCUCGUGACCCAGGACUGCGUGCAGUGCUGGGACGCGUGCGCCUUCGAUCGGGGUGGAAGGGUGCAACCGCGUCUGGCGGUUGGCAAAACGUGGCUUCAUCCGUCCCGUCUUGAAACACGGACCAAGGAGUGCAACACGCCCGCGAGUCUUUGGGUGACAAACCCGCCGGCGAAAUGAAAGUGAAGGUGCUUCGGCGCCGAGGCGGGAGCCGCGUCAAAGGCGGCGCACCGUCGACCGAUCCUAUCCACGCCGUGGGGGGAUUCGAGUUAGAGCGUGCAUGUUGCGACCCGAAAGAUGGUGAACUAUGCCUGAAUAGGGUGAAGCCAGAGGAAACUCUGGUGGAAGCUCGUAGCGAUUCUGACGUGCAAAUCGAUCGUCAAAU